GCCGGCGUGGCGGAACAGGCAGACGCACAGGACUUAAAAUCCUGCGGGACUCAACCUCCCGUACCGGUUCGAUUCCGGUCGCCGGCA
rnacentral:tRNA from 1 species